rfam:Myotis brandtii contig294981, whole genome shotgun sequence.
GGCAGUUCUCAGGUGACGCACCCCAGAAUUGGGCUCCCUCCUCUCUGGUUCCAGGGGCUUCACCCGAGAACCGCA